rnacentral:rRNA from 1 species
CCUUUAAUUGUGGGCUAGAAUGAAAGGAUAAACGAGAGAUUAGCUGUCUCUAAUUUAUAUUUAAAAAUUGACCUGCAGGUGAAGAGACCUGCAUUAAAAUAAAGGACAAGAAGACCCCGUAGAGCUCUGUCUUUAAUCAGUUAUUAAUAACAACUAUUUAUAGUUAAUUAAUUCAUUGACUUAGACUUGGCUGGGGCGGCCAAGGAGAAAAAAUAUCCUCCAUUUAUACCUAUAUAGCUCUUCCAGGUUUUAUUAACCAUCUUAUUAAAUGACCCUUUUAAGAUCAUAAAAUUAAGCUACCUC